UGGUGUCAGGAAUGGUUGCUGGAGGGUUCUGCUUCUCCUCUGUGUACGACGGCCAUGGCGGGGCUACUGGCUAGGGUUGUGAAUGCCUGUUGCAAUGGAUUACACAGAGUGCCACUUGAUGGGCUGAAAGGCAGGGCUGGCAAGCCGAUAGAGUGGGAGAAGGUGAUGGAAUCUUGCUUCAAGAAGAUGGAUGACGAAGAGUUUGGUGGGAAUUGUGGCGAAGGGAUGGAGGCAAAUGAAGGCUCGAGCUGGCGCUGGUAGUGGUGGCGGGGAAGGAGGAUGUGGUGAUUCCCAAUUGUGGGGACCCUAGAGCGGUGCUGGGCUGUGGUGGCAUUGCUGGUGGCUUUGUCAAGUGAUCAUGAACCUGACAGGACCGACGAGAGGGAGAGAGUGGAAGCCGAUGGAGGAAGAAUCAUAAAUUGGAAAGCUAGCUGUGUUUGUGUUCUGGGAGUGCUUGCCACUUCAAGACCAAUAGGUUUUCUGCUUUUUGUUUCCAGCAUAAGAAAACGCGUUCAUGGUUCAUUUUCCCGCCCCACAACAAAGUGUUGAGGUUCAUGAUCAUGCUCUUUGUGUUGCUUUGGUAGCAGUGAAGACACAUCUUUUGUGCUUUCGCCUUUCUGGGUCCAGAUUCAAAUCACUAAUCAAUCAGUUUCCCAUCCAUAUCAUUAGGAUUGCAAUUUUCUUUCCUUAGUUUCGGUUGUACUUGUGAAGGAUAUAAUGUGGUUUUUUGUGAUUUAUAAUGGUUGUCUUUGGGUUUAAUUUCCUUCUAACUACAAUCCUCCUGAAUCUCAUUUGGCAGAUAAUUUGUUCCAUUCUGUUUCUUGAACUCGUCUAGGUGCCUUCUGGGAUUUUGAGCAAGUUGAUUCCACGUUUUUGUUCUCCAAAGAAGAAUAGGUUCAAUUAACGUUGGUUGAUAGGGUUGAUAUCUGUAGCUAAUAAGGAAAAAGAAGAAAAUGGUCCAAGUUGGUAGUUGGAUAUUUGUAGUUUCUUUCCAUAAUACACGGGCAACUUCUAGUAGCAACAGUAAGAUUUCUCCUUCGUGACUUGGGAGGUCAUGAGUUUGAGUUGUUGAAAUAGCCUCCACAGUUAGGGGUGUGCAAAUGG